UGGGGAAUAUUGCACAAUGGGCGCAAGCCUGAUGCAGUCAUGCCGCGUGUAUGAAGAAGGCCUUCGGGUUGUAAAGUACUUUCAGUCGGGAGGAAGGUGGUAAGGUUAAUAACCUUAUCAAUUGACGUUACCGACAGAAGAAGCACCGGCUAACUCCGUGCCAGCAGCCGCGGUAAUACGGAGGGUGCAAGCGUUAAUCGGAAUUACUGGGCGUAAAGCGCACGCAGGCGGUUGAUUGAGUCAGAUGUGAAAUCCCCGGGCUUAACCCGGGAAUUGCAUCUGAUACUGGUCAGCUAGAGUCUUGUAGAGGGGGGUAGAAUUCCAUGUGUAGCGGUGAAAUGCGUAGAGAUGUGGAGGAAUACCGGUGGCGAAGGCGGCCCCCUGGACAAAGACUGACGCUCAGGUGCGAAAGCGUGGGGAGCAAACAGG
rnacentral:rRNA from 1 species